GUCUUCUUUCUCCCAUCAACUCCUACCCCAUCCAAAAAAUAUCUACAUUAUGGAGCAAAGCUUGAGAAAGACUUCUCUUAGUAGUCCAAAUCCUGCCCAAAACUAGAAAAGAAUUCAUGAUGAGAUACUUCUUUUUUUCCAAAGCUGAACGAAACUGAAGAUACAAGAUAAUUUUUUUCAGGGUUUUCCUCUUGUCAAUUUUUGUUUAAUUUAAUCUUUUUUCUUUUAUAUGUUUUCUCAUGAGGUCAAUCUUUAUUUUUAUUUUUCUUAUGGUAUUUUUUCUAUUUUUAUUUUUAUUUUUGGCCCUACUAUUUUAGUUUUCCAGUUAUAAGAUGCUAGCAAGAAGUUUCAAGAAUUAUGUACAAUUGACUCAUGAAUAGAUAAUAUUUUUGAUUAUGGUAUUUUCAGGAACUGUAUAUUUCCAAUUGUCUCUACUAUUAAAAAGAGGUUUGAUGGGAGAAACAAGACUAAAGUGGAAGAGAGAGGAAAAAUGGGCCAUGUAAGUAUAGAGAGAGGUAGAGUUUUGUUUUGUUUUUAAAGCACCAUAUAUUUUUAGGCUUCCAAUUUUGAUAAUAACGAUCUUAAUAUGACGACCCGGCCAGUCGUCUCAUGAGUUACCGCUCCAUUUUCCCUAUUUCUGCUUCUUUACGCUUUGUUUAUCCGUGUUAUGUGGUAUCGGGUUAGUCGGAUCGAAUCCGGAAUGAAUUUAGUAAGGUUUGAGACACUUAGUCUCUUUUGAGGAAGCUUAAGUUGGAAAAGUCAACCGGAUGUUGACUUAUGUGUUAGAGGGCUCGGAUGUGAGUUUUGAUGAUUCGAUUAGCUUCGGGAGGGGAUUUAUGACUUAGGAACAUGAUUGGAAUGAGUUUCGGAGGUUCGUAGUAGAUUUGGGCUUGAAUUGGCGAAGUUGAUAUUUUGGCGAUUUCCGAUUGGUAGGCAAGAUUUUGAUAUAAGAGUUGGAAUAGAAUUUCGAGAGUUUCAGUAGCUUCGUUAUGUUAUUUGGGAUGUGUGUGCAAAAUUUCAGGUCAUUUGGAUGUGGUUUGGUUGGAUUUUUGAUCAAAAGUGAAAUUCGGAAGAUUUUAGAAAGUUUGGCUUGAAUCCGAUGUGUUUUGGGUGAUUUAAUAUUGUGUGAGGUGUUUUGGUGAUUGGAACAAGUUUAAAUAAGGUAUUGGGUUAUGUUUGUGCUUUUAGUUGAGGUCCUAGGGGCCUCAGGGUGAUUUCGGAUGGUUAACGGAGAAGUUGUAAUUUUGUUGCAGCAACUGAAUUUGCUGCUUCUGGUAUUUUCGCACCUGCGGAUUGGGGACCGCAGGUGCGCCGCCGCAUAAGCAAAGAGUUGGUCGCAGAAGCGAAAAAUGGUCAGGUGAGUUGAGACUGCAGAAGCGGUAAGGUGACCGCAUCUGCGAUGUCGCAGAUGCGGAUUUGGCCCAUUAAGUGAUAUCCGCAGAAGCGGAGGAAAGGCCGCAUAUGCGGUACCGCAGAAGCGGCUAUUGUGCUGCAGAUGCGGAACAACUGGGCAGAACAUAUAAGUUAUUUCAUUUUGCGAAUUUGAGUUAUUUCACCAUUUUUGACUUCAGCUUGGGAGCUUUUUGGGCGAUUUGAAAGAGGGAUUUCAAGGAAACUUCAUUGAGGUAAGGAAUUUGAACUUAAAACUCGUUCCUAUGCUAUUAUUCUAUGGAUUAGAGCUAUAAAUUAUGGAUAUUAAGGGCAAAAUUUGGGGAAACCUGGGGUUUAGUAUCAGAGACCUAUGAUUGAGGAUUUGAUAAACCAUUUGAGGUCGGAUUUCUGAACUUUUGAUAUGUAUGAACUCAUGGGGAGAUAAGGAAUCUAUUGGUGUAAAAAUUAUUGAAUUCCGAGACGUAGGCCCGGGGGCCAGGUUUUGGUAAUUUCGGGAUUUGUGCCCUUUAUUGAUUAUUUUCGCUUGGGCUUCAUUCCCUUAGCAUAUUUUGACGUCCUCGUUCUGAUUUUGGAUAGAUUCGACGCGAGUGGAGGCCGAUUCGAGGGGCAAAGGCAUCGCGAGCUAGAGAUUUGACUAGUUCGAGGUGAGUAAUAAUUGUAAAUGAUAUUUUGAGAGUUUGAAACCCCGGAUUGCACAUCGUAGUGCUAUAUUGAGGAGGCACACGCUUGAUGACGAGCGUGGGGUCGUACACUUUUGGGGAUUGUGACUUGAUCCAUCUCGAUUGAUGAUUUUACCGCGUAUUUGACUGAGAUCUAUUUGUUAUCAUUAUUAUUUGGGCUGAAUGCCAUAUCUGGGCCUUGUGCCAAUUAUUUGUACCCUUCAGGGCUUUUUAUUGAUAUUUUCUCAUUGUUUUGACUUUACACUUGAACUCAAUCAUGUUAUUUUCCACUAUUUUUCAUACUCAGCUAUGUUUACUCAGUUUUAAGACUUAAGUCGUAUUUUAAAUGAUGAUUGGGCUGAGAAACACUGUUUUACUAUUGCCCGAGGGGCUUGUGAGAAUUUUUGACUAAGUAAGGCCGAGGGACUAUGUUGUGAGGAAACACUGAUAUUGAUUUGAGGCCGAGGGCCUGAGAUAUGUACGCCACAAGGUGACUUGAUUGAUAUGAGGCCGAGAGCCUAGUAAUGAUGCCACGAGAUGGCUUGAUAUUGCGCUUGGGCCAUAAGGGGCCCCUCCAGGAGUCUGCACAAUCUCAGUGAGCGCGGGUAACCAUUGUGAUAUGAGAUUGAGCCUGAGGGGCUUGUAUUGUUCUGAGAUAUUGCCCGAGGGGCGGAUUUGUUGAUACUGUGCCCGAGGGGCGAACUUCUAUUUGUUUAAUUUAUCUUAAUUGUCUGUCAAUUACCUACUUACUUGUUGAAAAAAGAUUGUUACUUAAUUUUUAACUGGUUUACUGCUCUUAAAUGGUUUUACUGCUUAGAAUGCCUUGUGUCUUACGUGUUUUCUUACUUUCAGUCAUUAUUUACAUUUGUUACUCACUGAGUUGGAGUACUCACUUUACUCCCUGCACCCUAUGUACAGAUUCGGGCGUAGCUGGUUCCGCUCUCGAGUGUUGAUCCCUCCAGCUUCAGGCGGACAUUCGGAGUUCACGAGGUAGCUAUUGGCGUCUGCAGCCCCGUGUCUCUACUCUUUUAUCAUCUCUAUCUCUUUUCAAACAUCUGUACUAGCUUAUAGACUUAGCAGACUUGUAUUAUGACUUAUAGAUGCUUAUGACUAGUGACACCUCUGUUAGGGCUGUGUAUGGGUGUUCUUCCGUGUAUUUAUGUUAUCAUCUGUCAUAUUGGACUUAUUUUAUCAUA
rnacentral:lncRNA from 1 species